AAGGCUACGACGUCUAGGGGUUCUGAGAGGAAGAUCCCCCACACUGGUACUGAGACACGGACCAGACUCCUACGGGAGGCAGCAGAGAGGAAUAUUGGUCAAUGGGCGGGAGCCUGAACCAGCCAUCCCGCGUGCAGGAAGAAUGCCCUAUGGGUUGUAAACUGCUUUUUCGCAUGAAGAACACUCCGGUCGUGACCGGAGCUGACGGUAAUGCGUGAAUAAGCACCGGCUAACUCCGUGCCAGCAGCCGCGGUAAUACGGAGGGUGCAAGCGUUAUCCGGAUUUAUUGGGUUUAAAGGGUGCGUAGGCGGUGAUUUAAGUCAGUGGUGAAAUCCUGCAGCUCAACUGUAGAACAGCCAUUGAAACUGAAUUACUUGAGUAAUCUUGAGGUAGGCGGAAUGUGUAGUGUAGCGGUGAAAUGCUUAGAUAUUACACAGAACACCGAUUGCGAAGGCAGCUUACUAAGGAUUUACUGACGCUGAUGCACGAAAGCGUGGGGAUCAAACAGGAUUAGAUACCCUGGUGGUCCACGCCGUAAACGAUGAUAACUCGCUGUUGGCGAUACACAGUCAGCGGCUUAGCGAAAGCGUUAAGUUAUCCACCUGGGGAGUACGCUCGCAAGAGUGAAACUCAAAGGAAUUGACGG
rnacentral:rRNA from 1 species